GAUGAACGCUAGCGGCAGGCUUAAUACAUGCAAGUCGAGGGGCAGCAUGGUGUAGCAAUACACUGAUGGCGACCGGCAAACGGGUGCGGAACACGUACGCAACCUUCCUUCAAGUGAGGAAUAGCCCAGGGAAACUUGGAUUAAUACCUCGUGACAUUGUGAAGUGGCAUCACUUUAUAAUUAUAGCUCAGGCGCUUGAAGAUGGCGUGCGACUGAUUAGGUAGUUGGCGGAGUAACAGCCCACCAAGCCUGCGAUCAGUAACUGGUGUGAGAGCACGACCAGUCACACGGGCACUGAGACACGGGCCCGACUCCUACGGGAGGCAGCAGUAAGAUAUUGUCAAUGGACGCAAUCUGAACCAGCCAUGCCGCGUGGAGAUGAAGGUCCUCUGGA
rnacentral:rRNA from 1 species